GACGAACGCUGGCGGCGUGCUUAACACAUGCAAGUCGAACGGUGACCCAGGGCUUGCCCUGGUGAUCAGUGGCGAACGGGUGAGUAACACGUGGGGCAACCUGCCCCUGACUUCGGGAUAACUCCUCGAAAGAGGAGCUAAUACCGGAUACGACCACUUCGGACAUCCGAUGGUGGUGGAAAGUUUUUCGGUCAGGGAUGGGCCCGCGGCCUAUCAGCUAGUUGGUGGGGUAAUGGCCUACCAAGGCGACGACGGGUAGCCGGCCUGAGAGGGCGACCGGCCACACUGGGACUGAGACACGGCCCAGACUCCUACGGGAGGCAGCAGUGGGGAAUAUUGCGCAAUGGGCGAAAGCCUGACGCAGCGACGCCGCGUGAGGGAUGAAGGCCUUCGGGUUGUAAACCGUACUUUCAGCAGGGACGAAGCGAAAGUGACGGUACCUGCAGAAGAAGCACCGGCUAACUACGUAGCCAGCAGCCGCGGUAAU
rnacentral:rRNA from 1 species